CAAUAGCGUAUAUUAAAGUUGUUGCGGUUAAAAAGCUCGUAGUUGGAUUUCUGCUGAGAACGACCGGUCCGCCCUUUGGGUGUGUAUCUGGCUCUUUCUUGGCACCUUCUUGGUGAACGUUGCUGCACUUGACUGUGUGGAGCGCUACCCAGGACUUUUACUUUGAGGAAAUUAGAGUGUUUCAAGCAGGCAUACGCCUUGAAUACAUUAGCAUGGAAUAAUAAGAUAGGACCUCGGUUCUAUUUUGUUGGUUUCUAGAGCUGAGGUAAUGAUUAAUAGGGAUAGUUGGGGGCAUUCGUAUUUAACUGUCAGAGGUGAAAUUCUUGGAUUUGUUAAAGACGGAUUACUGCGAAAGCAUUUGCCAAGGAUGUUUUCAUUGA
rnacentral:rRNA from 1 species